GAUUUCAGUGAUGCUCGCUUCAUAUAUAAAGAUUUAAAUAAAUAUUUACUGUAAACAUUAUUUGUUGAAGAUUAUAAUAGUUUCCUAUUAAUAUUCCAGUUAAUUACGGUGUUAAAAUGUUGUACGUAUGAUUAUAUUUUUAUUUUUAGUGUCAAGAUUUUGGCGGUUAUAACUAUCGCGUUUUGUUUCAUAAUGGCGGAUUUUUAUCUUGUGUUUUGUAGUGAAUAAAUACGAUGUUCGUCGUGUUGAGGUCGAUGCUGUGUCACGUUCGCGUUGCAAUCGAGUCGACUUCGAGAUGUCGAGACUGAUAGUAGAGGACGGUAAAUUAAGAUGAGAACGUCAACGAGAAGAAAGGGAUUGGAAAACGUGUUAUUUGAUAUAAUGUUUGUUGUUGUCUUGUAUAAUAAUAAUUUUAAACUUUUUAAGGUAUAAUUUUAUGUGUAUAAUAUGUCAUUUAUGUUCAAUUCUGUUAAUGUUUCAUUAAAAUAUUACGGUUUAGUUUAAACGAAUACUAUCUAUAUGUACGGCUAAAGUUUUAUUUCAGAUGAAAUCUACGUGACUGAAUCCACAUAUGUAUAAAUCAGCCAUACAGUCACCGCUUAAAACCACAUCAUUUCCUGCGUUUUAAUUUGUGUUUCACAUUUAGAACGCCGGUGUAUGAAAUCGUCGCGAGGAUACUCGGAGCAAACGACUCGAUAGUUCAAGUGUUUGACGUUGGAUGGCGCUAUUUAAAUGGUAUAGACUAGCAAUGUUUAGUUUAAUCUUCAUCAGCAAUUAUUGACUUUGUGUUUGAAUUAUGAACAAUUGUGCAAUUAGUGCACUACCGUGUCUAUGAUAAAGUAAAUACCGCUUGAAGAAUUGCGUGAACAUAUCUCACGCAAUAAGAUAUAAUAAUAUAUAAAUUCUUAAUAUUUCAGUUUCUAUAAUGUACAAGACUAUUGGUUAGAGUAAGAUUUUAGUUAUUCACCCACGUUAAAGGUUAAUGCUCCACCGCGGAUGUACUAGCACUGUGAUAGUUAUAUAAUCUUUCUUAAUAAAUACAAUAGAUGAAAAUAAUUCGAGAAGACAGAAGAUAAGUGUAUAGUACCGGGCCCUUGUCAUUCUUCUUGCCCGGUGUUUUAUACUACUGGACGGAGAACUGAUAAGGGCUCGUUCUGUGCCAUAUCGUCGUGAAUAUGAAGAUGGAAGAGUCGAGAUGAUAAUAUUACCAAAUGAUGAGGGUAGCUUGUAUAUGCUGCACAUUAUGUUAAUGGUUAAGGCCACUUGUCGUUGAAAAUGCUUGGAGCGUAUUCCAUAACGUUGCUCCAAUGUGGAUCGAUGGAAUAUAUUUGUUAUGUUUUAUUAUAUCAAUAGUGUUAUUUCAUAGCAUAUCUUAAUUAAAAUAAAUAAAUAUGUAGUAUGUAUUCAAAUUGUUUGUUUAAUAAAUAGCUAAAAUAUUCGUAGUUAUUAGUGUUUUGAUUCUCAUUACGUAUGUGUUAACUUUUUAUGAACAUAGUAUAUGAUUGUGUAUGUCCAAUUUUUAUAAUGUGUAUAUAAAUAUAAUAAAUUUGUGUUUUAUAUUAUUAUGUAAAGAUUUCGAUUGUUAUAAACUACAACCAACU